rnacentral:snoRNA from 1 species
AAGACAGCCAAUUAACUACUUAUCUGAAUAUGUUUCUGCAGAAAUUCAGAAACAGCUGGCAAUAGUGAUGUCAUUUUAUGAGCCUCAAGGACAACUAAG